CCUACGGGAGGCAGCAGUGAGGAAUAUUGGUCAAUGGCCGCAGGGCUGAACCAGCCAAGUCGCGUGAGGGAUGACGGUCCUAUGGAUUGUAAACCUCUUUUGUCAGGGAGCAAAGGGCGCCACGUGUGGCGUUUCGCGAGUACCCGAAGAAAAAGCAUCGGCUAACUCCGUGCCAGCAGCCGCGGUAAUACGGAGGAUGCGAGCGUUAUCCGGAUUUAUUGGGUUUAAAGGGUGCGCAGGCGGAAUGUCAAGUCAGCGGUAAAAUUGCGGGGCUCAACCUCGUCGUGCCGUUGAAACUGGCGGUCUUGAGUGAGCGAGAAGUAUGCGGAAUGCGUGGUGUAGCGGUGAAAUGCAUAGAUAUCACGCAGAACUCCGAUUGCGAAGGCAGCAUACCGGCGCUCAACUGACGCUCAUGCACGAAAGCGUGGGUAUCGAACAGGAGUAGAUACCCUAGUAGUC
rnacentral:rRNA from 1 species